rnacentral:rRNA from 1 species
UACGUAGGGGUGCAAGCGUUAAUCGGAAUACUGGGCGUAAAGCGUGCGCAGGCGGUUAUGUAAGACAGUUGUGAAAUCCCCGGGCUCAACCUGGGAAUUGCAUCUGUGACUGCAUAGCUAGAGUACGGUAGAGGGGGAUGGAACUUCCGCGUGUAGCUAGUCGAAAUGCGUAGAUAUGCGGAGGAACACCGAUGGCGAAGGCAGGCCCCCUUGGACCUGUACUGACGCCUCAUGCACGAAGCGUUGGGAGC